rnacentral:rRNA from 1 species
CGGAGCUUGCUCCACCGGAAAAAGAAGAGUGGCGAACGGGUGAGUAACACGUGGGUAACCUGCCCAUCAGAAGGGGAUAACACUUGGAAACAGGUGCUAAUACCGUAUAACAAUCGAAACCGCAUGGUUUUGAUUUGAAAGGCGCUUUCGGGUGUCGCUGAUGGAUGGACCCGCGGUGCAUUAGCUAGUUGGUGAGGUAACGGCUCACCAAGGCCACGAUGCAUAGCCGACCUGAGAGGGUGAUCGGCCACAUUGGGACUGAGACACGGCCCAAACUCCUACGGGAGGCAGCAGUAGGGAAUCUUCGGCAAUGGACGAAAGUCUGACCGAGCAACGCCGCGUGAGUGAAGAAGGUUUUCGGAUCGUAAAACUCUGUUGUUAGAGAAGAACAAGGAUGAGAGUAACUGUUCAUCCCUUGACGGUAUCUAACCAGAAAGCCACGGCUAACUACGUGCCAGCAGCCGCGGUAAUACGUAGGUGGCAAGCGUUGUCCGGAUUUAUUGGGCGUAAAGCGAGCGCAGGCGGUUUCUUAAGUCUGAUGUGAAAGCCCCCGGCUCAACCGGGGAGGGUCAUUGGAAACUGGGAGACUUGAGUGCAGAAGAGGAGAGUGGAAUUCCAUGUGUAGCGGUGAAAUGCGUAGAUAUAUGGAGGAACACCAGUGGCGAAGGCGGCUCUCUGGUCUGUAACUGACGCUGAGGCUCGAAAGCGUGGGGAGCAAACAGGAUUAGAUACCCUGGUAGUCCACGCCGUAAACGAUGAGUGCUAAGUGUUGGAGGGUUUCCGCCCUUCAGUGCUGCAGCUAACGCAUUAAGCACUCCGCCUGGGGAGUACGACCGCAAGGUUGAAACUCAAAGGAAUUGACGGGGGCCCGCACAAGCGGUGGAGCAUGUGGUUUAAUUCGAAGCAACGCGAAGAACCUUACCAGGUCUUGACAUCCUUUGACCACUCUAGAGAUAGAGCUUCCCCUUCGGGGGCAAAGUGACAGGUGGUGCAUGGUUGUCGUCAGCUCGUGUCGUGAGAUGUUGGGUUAAGUCCCGCAACGAGCGCAACCCUUAUUGUUAGUUGCCAUCAUUCAGUUGGGCACUCUAGCAAGACUGCCGGUGACAAACCGGAGGAAGGUGGGGAUGACGUCAAAUCAUCAUGCCCCUUAUGACCUGGGCUACACACGUGCUACAAUGGGAAGUACAACGAGUCGCGAAGUCGCGAGGCUAAGCUAAUCUCUUAAAGCUUCUCUCAGUUCGGAUUGUAGGCUGCAACUCGCCUACAUGAAGCCGGAAUCGCUAGUAAUCGCGGAUCAGCACGCCGCGGUGAAUACGUUCCCGGGCCUUGUACACACCGCCCGUCACACCACGAGAGUUUGUAACACCCGAAGUCGGUGAGGUAACCU